AGGGGCUUUGUUCCUGAUCUACCUGUGUAUCGGGAAGAGCUGCUCCAGAUCCAUUUCCAAGAGCAAGACUAUGUCCAAAAUGGUGUAAAUCAGGAACAUGACUGUUGAACAAGGAGCGAAAGAGCCAGGAGAUCUGAGUCUUCCACCUGUGCUUCCAGCUACCUGCUUCAUAUCGCUGUGUUUGCCCCUCUGUCAAACAGCGCAGCGGGGAGCAAAAGGGAACAAGACAUGGGGGAUGGAGAGACACAAGGGAGAAACAAGAUAACGUGGGGAUUGAUCUGUCCAAAGGGCAGAGGAACAUUUACGAUGUAAAAUUACAGCGCCUAUUACUCGGGAGUGCUGCACGCCAUGGUGAUUCAGCAUGACUGGGACCGAGGGAACAACUAGAGCCUGUUAGCCGGAUCCCUCCACUUUCACACCUCCACGUGGCUUUGCAGCAAAUCAAAAUGCAACAAAUGGCUUUGCAUCAUUUCUUCAAGGAGUCCUGGGCCUUGUACGUUAUCUUGAGGGCAGGGUAUGUGCUAUAAUA
rnacentral:lncRNA from 1 species